rnacentral:piRNA from 1 species
UGGGGACGGUGAGUGCUAGUAAUGUGGACC